GUCGAGCGGACAGAUGGGAGCUUGCUCCCUGAUGUUAGCGGCGGACGGGUGAGUAACACGUGGGUAACCUGCCUGUAAGACUGGGAUAACUCCGGGAAACCGGGGCUAAUACCGGAUGGUUGUUUGAACCGCAUGGUUCAGACAUAAAAGGUGGCUUCGGCUACCACUUACAGAUGGACCCGCGGCGCAUUAGCUAGUUGGUGAGGUAACGGCUCACCAAGGCGACGAUGCGUAGCCGACCUGAGAGGGUGAUCGGCCACACUGGGACUGAGACACGGCCCAGACUCCUACGGGAGGCAGCAGUAGGGAAUCUUCCGCAAUGGACGAAAGUCUGACGGAGCAACGCCGCGUGAGUGAUGAAGGUUUUCGGAUCGUAAAGCUCUGUUGUUAGGGAAGAACAAGUGCCGUUCAAAUAGGGCGGCACCUUGACGGUACCUAACCAGAAAGCCACGGCUAACUACGUGCCAGCAGCCGCGGUAAUACGUAGGUGGCAAGCGUUGUCCGGAAUUAUUGGGCGUAAAGGGCUCGCAGGCGGUUUCUUAAGUCUGAUGUGAAAGCCCCCGGCUCAACCGGGGAGGGUCAUUGGAAACUGGGGAACUUGAGUGCAGAAGAGGAGAGUGGAAUUCCACGUGUAGCGGUGAAAUGCGUAGAGAUGUGGAGGAACACCAGUGGCGAAGGCGACUCUCUGGUCUGUAACUGACGCUGAGGAGCGAAAGCGUGGGGAGCGAACAGGAUUAGAUACCCUGGGUAGUCCACGCCGUAAACGAUGAGUGCUAAGUG
rnacentral:rRNA from 1 species